UUUUCUCUCCCCUGUCCAGCUGAGGGGGGAGGGGGGGUGCGAAGUGACAGAAUGGCUUUGGUGGGCAUCUGGUGUACAGCCAUGGUCAACCCACUACACUGCCCCGUUGCAGGGGGGAGGGCAGUGAGAGUUAUGGCAAUAUUGAAAAUGAGACAAUUUGUUAAAGCUUGCAACUUUCAGCUUACUCUUCCAGUGAACUUGGCUAAGUUCAACUCCAUUAAUUAUGAUAAGAAAUCACUAUUAACAAAACAAUGUUUAAUUAAAAAAAAAUUUAUUUCACACUUCUAUACAAAUAUCCACAGGUAAUUUCUAAUCAUGGAAUGAUGUAGCAUUGCUAUCUGGUAUAAAAAAAGUUUUGAGAUAGAAGUAUACCAGUGACAUGACUUACUUUUCAAGAACUUUCAGUUUAACACUGCUAAGACAUUCAUGUUCUUAGGUGAGGGCCACAAUCUGCUUUUAAAUCUAAGGCUAUUUGUCAUGCUUCUUAGCCCCUGAUUAGCCUGGCUUCUGAUGCUACUGAGCCUUUCAGCAAAUAAGCUAGAAUUUUAAAAGCUCAAAAACUGGGUAACAGCUAAAUACAUGUGUAAGUGUUCAUAAAAUCAGGGUCACAGCAUACUGAGAUUAUUUAGUGGGAGAAAGAAGAGUCUAUUAUUAAAUCAAUGCACUUCCUAUAAUGAUGACUUUUUAGGUGACAGCACCUUCCAAGAAGGCACGUUCAAAGUUAGUAGUAAAAAUAAGACACUUGACAACUGCCCUCCUAGCAGGUUUUUACCCUAUGAGGGGAAAAAGUACCAAGAGGUUUUUGCAUAGUUCAAAUUACUAGCAAUUAACGUGCAUACUUUUUGAGCAGAAUUUUGUUUCACAUGGAAUAAGCAAUUGUGAACUAAAUCUUCAUUCUUAAAUAGUACCAAAGCUUUAGAACAUGGGUAAAAAAGUAAAUUCUUUAAAUAGUUAUAUCAGUUAUGUUACAAUAACUAGAUUACUGAUAAACACAACAUUGUGGUUCUACUUUUAUCAACAUUCAGGUAUUCAAGACGAUUCAGUAGUCUCAACAUGGAUCAGCUCAGAUCCCCAUACUUAAGCAUGAUAUCGGGGGACACUGUCUUCGUACCUAGAACGCUGGAAGAACCCGCACUGGGGCAGAGAAGAAAAAGAACAGUUUAGGUUUGAAUUGCUGCCAAAGCACUACAAUUAUAGAGGCAGUAAAUUCUUCCUUUGCACAGAUACACAGAAAAACUACUAUAAAAUAUGUCCAUAGCAACUAAAGCUGGCUGUGAAGAGCCAAAACAAGUCUAUACAGAAACCUGUUAGUGAACUACUGCACAGGAGACACAAAAACAGAGGGUAGAACAAAGAUGAGUACUGCUUUGACCUGUACAACACAAGCAUUUGUCUUAAACCAAUCACGUAACUGUCGUUGAAGUACCAUAUUUGUCCUUCAUAAGUUGGCACAGUGUCAUCAAAAGAAGCACUGUACACUGUGGGUGUGCCUGUGAAAAAUGUGUUUUCAUGUGCAGUAAACCACUAGUAGUUAUAACCUAACAGCCCACCCAAAGUAUUAAUUCAUCAGGAAGAUUUGCAGCAGGAGCUGGGCAUUUAUUAGAAAAUACGGAAGUCAGAACUAUCCUGUGAGAAGUAACCUGCAGCAAAUAGUAGGUCCUCAGCAAAGCUAACUGGUGCAGCUUCUCCAGAAGAAGCUGUAGACCAGGAAAUAUAAAAUAACCAGAUGAAUAAAACCUCACCUUCCAUAGUAAGAAUACCAACAGUGCAAGCAUCAGUAUUCCAGCAAAAAUGGCCACAGAGAUGAUCCACCAAGGCGGAAGACCAAAAGAGUGGAACAGACCCACACAUUCAGAGCGGGUCCCACAGUGUCUUCUUGUGCCUGCUCAAUCCUGCACGCAUAUACAUGGUUUUGUCAUCCGAGUCAGGUUGUGGCACUCACUGCUAAAGGAGACGAACUGUUGACAAGCUAAUGCAGUGUUGCAAGGAUGGGAACAGCACUGAGCAUGCCGGGCCUCAGAAGCACGCAGGUGGGCACACGUGAGCUGCCUCCGAGAGCUGGAAGCACUUGACCUGUUGAAGGACCAGGACCUUAUUCAGGCACAUCCUACAGCUUUUACUAGUUACUGAGAAACUCAAGACAACCCGGGGGAAAAUGAGAAAUGUGAACUGUGACCUGACUGUUCCCUGAGAUGCUCGCCAUUUCCUCCAACAAAAUACGGAAGAUGGGAUUUGGCAUUCCUUGUAUUUCUCAUGUGAAAAACCAAAGCAGAGAGAAACCAGAUUGCCAUCCUUCAUUACACAGGCAGCAGGAGUUAAC